rnacentral:rRNA from 1 species
AGUGAACGCUGGCGGUAGGCCUAACACAUGCAAGUCGAACGGCAGCACAGUAAGAGCUUGCUCUUACGGGUGGCGAGUGGCGGACGGGUGAGGAAUAUAUCGGAAUCUACUUUUUCGUGGGGGAUAACGUAGGGAAACUUACGCUAAUACCGCAUACGACCUACGGGUGAAAGCAGGGGAUCUUUGGACCUUGUGCGAUUGAAUGAGCCGAUGUCGGAUUAGCUAGUUGGCGGGGUAAAGGCCCACCAAGGCGACGAUCCGUAGCUGGUCUGAGAGGAUGAUCGGCCACACUGGAACUGAGACACGGUCCAGACUCCUACGGGAGGCAGCAGUGGGGAAUAUUGGACAAUGGGCGCAAGCCUGAUCCAGCCAUACCGCGUGGGUGAAGAAGGCCUUCGGGUUGUAAAGCCCUUUUGUUGGGAAAGAAAAGCAGCAGGUUAAUACCCCGCUGUUCUGACGGUACCCAAAGAAUAAGCACCGGCUAACUUCGUG